rnacentral:rRNA from 1 species
UCGAGCGAACAGACGAGGAGCUUGCUCCUCUGACGUUAGCGGCGGACGGGUGAGUAACACGUGGAUAACCUACCUAUAAGACUGGGAUAACUUCGGGAAACCGGAGCUAAUACCGGAUAAUAUAUUGAACCGCAUGGUUCAAUAGUGAAAGACGGUUUUGCUGUCACUUAUAGAUGGAUCCGCGCCGCAUUAGCUAGUUGGUAAGGUAACGGCUUACCAAGGCAACGAUGCGUAGCCGACCUGAGAGGGUGAUCGGCCACACUGGAACUGAGACACGGUCCAGACUCCUACGGGAGGCAGCAGUAGGGAAUCUUCCGCAAUGGGCGAAAGCCUGACGGAGCAACGCCGCGUGAGUGAUGAAGGUCUUCGGAUCGUAAAACUCUGUUAUUAGGGAAGAACAAAUGUGUAAGUAACUAUGCACGUCUUGACGGUACCUAAUCAGAAAGCCACGGCUAACUACGUGCCAGCAGCCGCGGUAAUACGUAGGUGGCAAGCGUUAUCCGGAAUUAUUGGGCGUAAAGCGCGCGUAGGCGGUUUUUUAAGUCUGAUGUGAAAGCCCACGGCUCAACCGUGGAGGGUCAUUGGAAACUGGAAAACUUGAGUGCAGAAGAGGAAAGUGGAAUUCCAUGUGUAGCGGUGAAAUGCGCAGAGAUAUGGAGGAACACCAGUGGCGAAGGCGACUUUCUGGUCUGUAACUGACGCUGAUGUGCGAAAGCGUGGGGAUCAAACAGGAUUAGAUACCCUGGUAGUCCACGCCGUAAACGAUGAGUGCUAAGUGUUAGGGGGUUUCCGCCCCUUAGUGCUGCAGCUAACGCAUUAAGCACUCCGCCUGGGGAGUACGACCGCAAGGUUGAAACUCAAAGGAAUUGACGGGGACCCGCACAAGCGGUGGAGCAUGUGGUUUAAUUCGAAGCAACGCGAAGAACCUUACCAAAUCUUGACAUCCUCUGACCCCUCUAGAGAUAGAGUUUUCCCCUUCGGGGGACAGAGUGACAGGUGGUGCAUGGUUGUCGUCAGCUCGUGUCGUGAGAUGUUGGGUUAAGUCCCGCAACGAGCGCAACCCUUAAGCUUAGUUGCCAUCAUUAAGUUGGGCACUCUAAGUUGACUGCCGGUGACAAACCGGAGGAAGGUGGGGAUGACGUCAAAUCAUCAUGCCCCUUAUGAUUUGGGCUACACACGUGCUACAAUGGACAAUACAA